CCAACGACGACGAUGCGUAGGGGUUCUGAGAGGAAGGUCCCCCCACACUGGUACUGAGACACGGACCAGACUCCUACGGGAGGCAGCAG
rnacentral:rRNA from 1 species